rnacentral:rRNA from 1 species
GACGAACGCUGGCGGCGUGCCUAAUACAUGCAAGUUGAGCGCUGAAGGUUGGUACUUGUACCAACUGGAUGAGCAGCGAACGGGUGAGUAACGCGUGGGGAAUCUGCCUUUGAGCGGGGGACAACAUUUGGAAACGAAUGCUAAUACCGCAUAAAAACUUUAAACACAAGUUUUAAGUUUGAAAGAUGCAAUUGCAUCACUCAAAGAUGAUCCCGCGUUGUAUUAGCUAGUUGGUGAGGUAAAGGCUCACCAAGGCGAGGAUACAUAGCCGACCUGAGAGGGUGAUCGGCAACAUUGGGACUGAGACACGGCCCAAACUCCUACGGGAGGCAGCAGUAGGGAAUCUUCGGCAAUGGAAGAAAGGCUGACCGAGCAACGCCGCGUGAGUGAAGAAGGUUUUCGGAUCGUAAAACUCUGUUGGUAGAGAAGAACGUUGGUGAGAGUGGAAAGCUCAUAAAGUGACGGUAACUACCCAGAAAGGGACGGCUAACUACGUG